GGGGCUGUAGCUCAGUGGCAGAGCACUUGCCUUACACAUGUGAAUCACUGGGUUCGACCCUCAGCACCA
rnacentral:tRNA from 1 species